CAGUUCAUUUGCAUUUAAAUUGCCCAAAUGGCAUUUGGCAAGAGCUAUUUGAUGUCCAAGGAGGCUUUGGAGGCUUUUAAACUUCAAAACAGAAGGUCAGAAUUGAUCAGCAGGAAAAGAACCUCAGUGCUAAGUGGUGGGGUUGAGCUCUGCGUUUCCACAUCUGGGAAGCUGGUUUCAGCUUGAAGUCUGGGGGGAGCAAAUCACACGGGCUCACUCCAGGAAGAAUGGCCAGAGCUGGACUCAGUGGACAUUCAGUGAUGCCUGCUGUUAUCCACGCAUUGUUGCAGACACUGAGGGUACAAAGGUGUUUUAAAAAUUGCGGCAGAUCUGACCUAAAUGCAAUCACUGAAUUAUAUCCAUCAGAUCAUGGAGGCCACAAAAGGGGAAAUGGCCAAUUCUAUAGGAGCAGUUAAAAAAGAAGAGUGAAUUCUCUAGAAUCAAGAGGACCCAAGAGAUAUUAUUUCAGCAGGAGACCAUAGAGAGAAGAUAAAUGACCUGGAAGAAGAGGAUUGCAGGAGUCAGAUGGAUGAGUCUUCCUCCUUCUGAAUUCUUAGUGGUAAAAAUCUCAGAACAUUCAUAGGCUCCAGUAAAGAAAGCCGGAACUAGAGAAAUCUAAUGUGUCUUGUGGGACUGAGAAGCUCAAGAUCCAGCCCCCAUGCAAGUUAGGAGAGAGUUUAAAAAAAAAAAAACCCACCUACCAUACAUUGCAUUUAUUUAGUAACUAUUAGGUGCCUAGCAUUGUACUAGGUGCCAAACAUACAGAUUGAGUCUUUAGCUGGCACCUUACCUACAGUCAAAUGAGGAGUACAAUUCUAAGUGAAUUCAAUGGCUCAAGCAUAUAAUUAUCAAAAGCAAUGGUAAUACAGCCCAGCAACUGUCUUUCUGGACAUUUUCUCCAGAACAAUUAAAACAUUUGUUCAGA